rnacentral:rRNA from 1 species
CAGUAUACAUAUGCGCACUGGGUGCUUAUUAGGUGGAAUCCAUAAAACCCUCUCUGUGAGGGGCUGCUGCGGAGGCCAUGAUAGACACAACGCUUACGGUCUCGGGGGAUUAUUCUCGACGAUCGUUU